rnacentral:rRNA from 1 species
AUUGAACGCUGGCGGCAGGCCUAACACAUGCAAGUCGAACGAGUGGCGGACGGGUGAGUAAUGUCUGGGAAACUGCCCGAUGGAGGGGGGUAACUACUGGAAACGGUAGCUAAUACCGCAUACCAUCGGAUGUGCCCAGAUGGGAUUAGCUAGUAGGUGGGGUAACGGCUCACCUAGGCGACGAUCCCUAGCUGGUCUGAGAGGAUGACCAUCCACACUGGAACUGAGACACGGUCCAGACUCCUACCUAGUUCAACAGGCUUUAAUAUUGCACAAUGGGCGCAAGCCUGAUCCAGCCAUGCCGCGUGUAUGACGAAGGCCUUCGGGUUGUAAAGUACUUUCAGCGAGGAGGCGUUACUCGCAGAAGAAGCACCGGCUAACUCCGUGCCAGCAGCCGCGGUAAUAC